rnacentral:rRNA from 1 species
GACAGAGGUGCCGAGCGUUAGGCGGAAUCACUGGGCUUAAAGCGUGUGUAGGCGGGCCGUUAAGUGUCUUGUGAAAUCCCCCGGCUCAACCGGGGAAUUGCUGGGCAUACUGGCGGUCUUGAGCAAUCUAGGGGCAGAUGGAACAAGUGGUGGAGCGGUGAAAUGCGUAGAUAUCAGGAGGAACACCAAUGGCGAAGGCAGCUCGCUGGGACGGUACUGACGCUGAGACGCGAAAGCGUGGGGAGCAAACAGG